AACUUUACAUAAGGGACUUGAAGAUCACCUGAUUUUGGUAUCCUCAGGGGUCGUGGAAGUAAUCCCUCCAAUACUGAGGGAUGACUGUACUGCCUAGAUAUACCAGAAAAGGAGAUGAUUCGAGUCCUGGGCAAAAUAGCAUGGGACUGGCCGGGUACAGUGGCUCACACCUGUAAUCCUAGCACUUUGGGAGGCCAAGAUAUACUGGCUGUUAUAACCUUCACACUGAGCCCACCAUCCUGGGAGCAGAAAAGAGUCUGGUUCAAGGAGUAUGUGUACAUGGGUCAACUGCAUGUUGCAGGAGUUUGGUGUACAGUUAAUUUUGUCCCCAGCUGGUGCAGGAGACUCCCCAAAGGAAAAUCGGUCUCUGUGAGAGGCACAUGCUGAGAAUGAUGAGAGAACGUCCUCCCUGAACCAAGCGCCACUAGGUUAGGGUCCCCACGACCGAGCUGGUCUGAGCAAGUGGCGCCUAACAUGGGGCUCAAACCCUUGUCGAAGGGUCACCAGAGUGACGGCUGGAGAACGUGGAACUACACUGGAGAACACCCAAGUACUCUUAAGCAAUCCCUGCGGCCAAAACCAGCAGCCGAUUUGGAUACCAUUAAGACACCUGAAACCUUAUCAUGAGCCAGAUGCUGAGGAAGAGAUUUUGGGAGGAACCCGAGGACCCCCCAGUUGCAGCCAUGUCGAGACUGACAAUAAGGCCUCCUUUUCUGUUUGGAUGGUAAGAGCCUGAGAAGGAGUAUGGAUACCUGUAAAGCUUUCCUGUCCUUGGGAAGCCUCUCCUUCUGUGCAUACAUUACUGAAAUUCUUCAAAAGAGUUUGAGGUACUCUCGGUGUUUCAUUGCCACUUUAAUUUUAAUCAUUAUGGGAUUGAUUGCUGUCACAGCUACUGCCACGGUAGCUGGAGUUACUUUGCAUUCCACAGUACAAAGAGCAGACUACGUAAAUAAUUGGCAGAAAAAUUCUACUUUGCAGUGGAAUUCCCAAACUAACACAGACUGAAAACUAGCUAAUCAAAUCAAUGAUCUCCGAUAAACUGUAAUGCGGCUAGGAGAUCAAGUAGUUAGUCUAGAAUAUAGAAUGCAGAUACAAUGUGAUUGGAAUACUUCUGAUUUUUGCAUUACUCCUCAUCUGUAUAAUGAAACAGAGCAUGAGUAGGAAAGAGUUAAGAGACAUUUAAAGGGUCAUACUGGAAAUUUAUCUUUAGAUAUUACAAAACUGAAGGAACAAGUAUUCCAAGCCUCUCAGGCACAUCUGAUGCUAAUGCCAGGAACUAAAGAGCUUGAAGGAGCUGCAGACAGAUUAGCAGCUAUUAACCCGUUAAAAUGGAUCAAGACAAUUGGAGGCUCCCUGAUUUCAAUGAUGAUUGUGCUUUUAAUCUGUGUUGUUUGUCUUUGUGUAGCAUGCAGAUCCAAAUCCCGAAUCCCGAAUCCUGUGAGAAGUAGCCCACCGUGACAAAGCAGCCUUUGCCUUUGUCACUUUGCAAAAACAGAAAGGGGAACAUGCUGGCAACAGGCUUUAAAGAAAUUGGCCAUAAGCAGGAUUUUUGCAGCAAUGAAACGUGCUUGUGAUGGCUAUGACACACACUGCUAGAAGCUGUUGGCUUACUGGAGCAGGACAAGGAACACCUGGCCUGCCCGGAGUGGAAAACUGCUCAAACCACAAACAAUAGCAUGAGUGGCCUGUGCCUUAACACGUUUUUGCUGCAGAUAAUUAGCCAAAGACUGUUUCUCUACUCCUUGCUAAGAAUGUUUUGUUUCCCAUAAGGAAUGCUUUUAGUUAAUCUAUAAUCUAUAGAAACAAUGCUUAUCAAUGGCUUGCUGUCAAUAAAUAUGUGGGUCAAACCCUGUUCGCAGCUCUCAGCUCUGAAGGCUGUUGGCCCCUGAUCCCACUUUACACUCU
ensembl:lncRNA novel transcript, antisense to ZNF480 and ZNF610